rnacentral:tRNA from 1 species
GGCAAGGAAGCCAUGCGUUAGGCGACUGGCUUUUAACCGGUAGAUAGCUAUAAAGCUCUUGCUU